AAAACAUAGCUUAAUGAAAAAUAUAUUAAGUAAUACCUGCCCGGUGAAUUUUUUAACGGCCGCAGUACCUUGACUGUGCUAAGGUAGCAUAAUAAUUUGACUUAUAAUUGAGGUCUAGAAUGAAAGGAUAUACAGGGAGUAGUUGUUUCUUAAAAGAUUUAUUGAAUUUUCUAAUAAGGUGAAAAUUCCUUAAUAAAUAAAUUAGACGAGAAGACCCUUAGAAUUUUUAUUUUUAAGUUUUUGUUGGGGCGACAAAGUUACAAUUAACUUACUUAUUAUAUUAUUUUACAUGUCGAGUGUUCUAGGAAUGGUUAAAUUACCUGAGGGAUAACAGCAUAAUUUUUUUAAAGAUUGUGACCUCGAUGUUGGAUUAGGAAAAGAUGUGGUAAGUAAUUACUUUAUAGGUUCUGUUCGAACUAUUUAUCCUACGUGAUCUG
rnacentral:rRNA from 1 species